AUAACAUACCGUGAUAACAGUUAAAGAUUCCAAGACGGCUGGUGCCUGUUGUGCUGGGCACUGCCCAGUCUAUGAAAAUAGCCCACUGCAAGCUGGAUCUCUGACUGGACAGCGCAUCCUUUACCUUGUGCACAGGUCAGCAUCGCUCAGAGAAGGCGGCUGAUGGAGACGCCGGCUAGCACCUGGGCGAUGUUUCUCCAUUUGGCGUUAAAUGUUCCAGUGUUUUACAGCAUUUUGGGGCAACAGAAAGGGGAAAAGCGAAGGAAAGAGUUUCAGUUUUUUCAAUGUGGAACCUGCUUUGCUGCAAUUUUCAGAGAGACCUGUUCUGAAGCGCAGACAUCCACAUGCAUCACACAGGGAGCCUGUUCCGGAUGUUGUUCAUUCCAUAAGGUCGGGUAUUUGCCAUUUUAGUGCUCCAGCGUUUGGUCUCCCAAAGUCCCUUUAGGUCCCUUUGCUGCUCAAGCCCCAAGGUGAUUUACAUCUCUCAGAAAGGAGACUCAAGAAUCUGAAAGUUUUUAAAUGCAUUACAAAAUACAUUGGAAGCAGGGAGUCAGUAAAAUGCCAUCCUCUUAAAGCUUUUUGUUUUAGAUAGCUUGACAUUUUUUAUGGAAAACGUUUAUCCAUUAAAAUAAUGAUAAAGCAAUUUUUUUAAUAAGUUCUUUACUCCAGAGUGUUAAAACUAUGAAACUACAAAGCAAGAGAACUUGCAGAAAUCAUGCUGCAUACACUCUGUGGGAAAUGGUACAUAUAAAAAGCUUGUUAUUUCUAUCUCUAAGUGAUAAAAACUAAGAUGGUACAUCAAAACAGCAGGUACAAAUUAUAUGUAUACAUUAUAUAUAUUACCUGCUCUUAACAAAAAUUACUUUAAAAUAUCUGCCUCCAUGCACAAAACCAGAACACACCACAUAAAACAUCUCUCUGUUAAGUGCAGAUUCCUGGGAAAACAACUCCAAUAAAAAAAAAGCAUAAAAAAAUAAUAGCACGCCACAAAUGCCUAAUUAAAAAAGGUUCUCCACCUCUUUGGAAGAAAUACAUUUUAUUUGCCCUCAUUAAGGUGACCUAACCACUGUGCUUCACCCUGCCCUGCCUGAAUGAUGUAAUCAGCCCAACUCAUGAAAAUAAAAUACUAGAGCAAAAGAAUCAUGUUCUCUUUCUCUGAGCUGUAACUGCCUAUUUUUCUAGAUACAUAAUCGCAUUCAAGCAUAUACUUUAACUAAUGACUCAAAAGACAGGCUGCUGACACUAUAUGGUCUGUCAAAGAUCAGGUGUAACUCUAGAAAUGGAGAAAUUCAGAACUGGAUCUAAACUGAAAAGUUCCAGAGAACUGGAUCUAAACUGAAUCUUUACUUAAACCUUUUGUUUGUUAUUCACACUCACUCAAAACAAGCAUUUAUCUAGCUAUUUUUUGAGCUAUGACCUGAAGAUGCACCUUCUGUUAAUGGAAUAAGAUGCUAGCGAAACCUCUUGCUCAAUGCAAGGAGGUAAUCCUGCCUCCUUUUUACGGUAACUAC